AAAAUUACCUCGUUAGUGAAGCGCGUUAAAAUGCAUCGACACAAUGAAUUUAAUAUGACAUUUAAAAAACAAGAACUUGAUGGAGUUUGGCUACAUCGAGGCUCAAUGCAGGAACAAAAUGACAUCCAGAGCAGCAGGUAAAGCAGGUAAAGCAGCUCAACUACCAACACUCACCUGGAUCAGCAUCACUGUGAGAAAGUUAAACAAAUAACCAGAAAAAUAAUUCAAGUCUUUGUGCUGGAGGUGAAAGACUUUGGUUCUGCUCUCGCUGUUGAACCGCCGCUAUUCACUACUAGUAGUAAUAUUUCACAGACGUAGCGCCGCUCAACCUCCACCUGCAGUGAAUCUCACACUGCUUAAAGCUGCAGCAGGAAACGGAAACAACAAUGACAACAACAAAAAUAAUUCACAUAUUAAAGCUUUCCCUAUGCCCAAACGAGAGAUAAUUUAUGAAAAAACAAAUAAAUAAUAAUUGAUCUCCUCUCCCUCCUCCUGUGUUCUGCAGAAUUAAUCCGCUCAGUCAGAACCAGCAUUAAUCAGCUAGCUGCUCUCAGGAAGUUUGGAUUUAGUAACUUAGGAUUGUUUAUUUUGAUGCAACCUGCAUUUGACUUUGAAUGAAUGUUUCCCUCUUUUACUAGACAUUAUUUUAUAUAAUAAGUGUUAUUAGAUUUAUUUACUGUUAAAUGUUGUUUAACUGGUUGCAGGUUUUUCACUUGUUCUUUUGACUGAGUAGCUGCUGUAUUGUGCCUGCAAGUAUGUUGCAUGUUUAUGUUAAUUAGGUUAAUUUAUAACCAGAUAAUUUUUUAAUUUUGCCAGAUCACAUAGUAUCAUUUAUAACUAUAAAAUAAACAACCAAUUCAGGUGAUUGGCAGAGAUCGACCUCAUGGCUGAUCGGUAUCAGAAUUGGCAGCAAUAAACCUGAUCGGAGCAUCUGUAGAAUUAAUACAUUUUAUUUUGGUUAUGUUGCUGAAAAUGUUGGUUAUAUACUCAGCAACAAUUGUUGCCAAUGGAAAACUGCAUAGUCUGAAUUACACAAAUAUAUCCUAUUUAUACAUAUAAAAAAUAAGAAAAAUUAUGACAUGCAAAACCCAUUAUAACAAAGAAUGGUUACAAGAGUGUUCAGAAAUAUUCUAGAUACAUAAAGAUUCAAUUCCACAUCCUGCAGAUGUCAUUGUCUCAAUUUGCAGAGUGACCUUUGACCUCAUUUGGUCAUUUCAUCAAUGGGGCAAGGUCAGGUGAAAAUGUUAGAAUGAAUAAAUGUGAAUCUUGGAGAACAUUUUCCCUGUUCCACCAGACCAAGAACUACACCUUUGUUCUGUCCUAAACUAGUUUCAGGCGUGGCAUCAUCUUGUAGCUUCAUUCAGUGCAAAGACCCACUUUGUGGAAAGGAUCAGGUUUUGGGAGGUGAUUUGGGGAGGGGUUCAACUGUGGGAAUGACAAUGAUGUAGAAAACAUCAUUUUGAGGUUCCUUCAGGUCUAGAAGAGCUAAAAUAUCUGAUGGUUUUAAGCUGUGAGGAAACAAGGCA